CACAAAAUAAAACAUACACACAUCAAAUAUACAUACCCAAACACACACACACACCCCCUACGCAUAAUACACAUAACCAAAUAUACUCAGAGGUACAUAUGCACAAAAACAAAAUGUCUACAUAACACAAACACACAUACACAAGAAUACACAUGUAGAUUCACACAUGCCUGCAAACACACGCAAACCAAAUACCAACCUAUGCACACUCAAAUACAUACACAUGUCCAUAUCUACAUAAACAACACACACACACAUCAGAAGCACACCGACACUCACAAAAUAUGCACACAUACCUACACAUGCACAUAUGCCCCCCCACACACACAUAUGCACACACAUGCGCUCCAUUUGGGAGGUUCCCAGCCUCCCAGGAUCAGGGUCCCAGGCGCAUUAACUCCUCCCAGGCAUCAUCUGCUGAACCACUUGGUCUGCUCCUUUCCAGCGUCUGAAACGCAAGGUGCAAAUACACGAGACCCUCCCAGAGCCGACCUUGUGUAAAAGGGCACUUUAACCUACUAGCCUCUGCCUCUAAGACCGGCGCAGAUAUGCUCCCCUCGUCCUCAAAGUGCCCAACAGUGACUCUGCAAAAUAUAACCAAGUCUUACACGAUGUGCUUGGAACAAGCAGGUGUGAUCCUAUAAAGAUAAAUAUAAUGCUGUUCCUGGCAUUGAUUUCUUUAGCAUCUUAUCAAAUGCCCUGUUGUAGCAACAGUCUCUUUCUGUUUUCCCUUCUGCUUCACCAGAAGAUGACUCAAUCCGCAGACCCAGAAACCGUGGCACAAUUACAACAUUCAAAACAGCUUGUGUGUAACGGCUCACAGCUCCGCUCCAAUUGGAUCCUGCCUCCCUAAGCUAAGUGCAAGUUAACAGAUUCCUAAAAAUACCCCCUGACAUGAGUCAUCCUCUUGCAAGAGCCCCAGAGAAUGUUUUCCCCAGAAACGGCGAGGCCCAGAGCCGGGCGGGGGCCGCUGCUCCUCGGACGCCAGCACUGAAAGCUACGUUCCAGCCCGGCCACCCCGGCCAGCACUGACUCCACGGGCGGCAGUGGGAACCAGUGGAGACACCUGCUCACACAGACCCCGCGGCAGGCCUCGCUGGCUCUGCUGAUGCCCUCAGGGCCGACAAGGGCUGCAUCUCCACAGAGGGUCCUGGGAGGCACCAGAAACAGAAACGUCCUCCGAGAGUGGGGUUCUGGAAGCGAAGCUGCGUAUUUUGGGGGAGGAGGAGCUUCGUGAUAAUCCCGAAAUGAGGCGGCAUGAAGGAGCCAUGUGCUGCCAGGACAGCACAGCGCCCGAGGGCCUCCCUCCAAGUAGGCGGGGUGCUGAUGAUAAAGGGGGACACGGGGGACGCUCGUCCUCGUUAUUACCUCGACCACUAACUCAAUCGUGCGCUCUUAGUUCAGAAAUAUGUUUAGGGGCUUUAAAUUAAAAGAACCCAGGCUUCAAGCAUGAGAUUGGCACACGUAGACCACAUGCUCAUAUCCCAGAAACGAGGGGAAACGGGGGAAACCCUCUUUUCAGGCUUCUAAUUAGAGUGGGAUGUAGGGGCUCAAGGGAGAGACCCCCUAAAAUGCUGACAGUUUUUGUCGAGCUGGGGGCGGGGGGCUGUUCCUCGCACAUGCGCAGGCGGGGCCGUGCUGCCAGGUGUGACGGUCAGACGCGAGCGCGGCUGGAAAGAAGGACGGGAAAGGGGGGGGGGGGGGGGGGGUGGAAGCAGCAGGAAAAGGACCAGAAGGAGACAAGAAGGAGUCCUCCAGAAAAAGUAUUAACUCACCUCCUGUUUGGGGUGUAUUUGGGGCUGAGCCACGUUCUGUGGAGCCUGAAACAUCUACAGAAUUAUGAAUACAAAAAGUUAGUGCACAGGUAAAUACUUGUUUGGCAUGAGAAGAGAGAGUCCUGACAAGUUAGUGCCGCAUUGGAGCCCCAGUCCUUGCCCACAUCCUUCCAGGGUUCCAGGGCCUGCAGGUGAAAGGGGCCUUCCCUGCACCUCCCAGGCUGCCAGCAGUGCCUUCACUCUGGAGCAGAAGCUCAGGAGCUGCUCAGGGGAUCCUGCUGGAGGGGGUCCCUGUGAGAUGACCACCAGGGGUUCAUGCAGAGUGCAGAGGUCGUCAGAACGGCCAUCGCGAGGAGACCACAAAGAAGGAAUGCCGCAAGGAUGUGGAGCAGGGGGGGGCAUGGCAGCUGUUGGGAGGAAUGUAAAUUGGUGCCGCCUCCAUGGGAGAGAGCGCAGAGCUUUGCUCGAAAACUGACCCUAGAACCACCUAUGAGCCAGCAUGGCUACUCCUGGGUGUAUGUCCAGAAAAAAGAAAACGUUAAUUUGGAAAGAUACACACCCUCCCGUGUUCAUGGCAGCAGUGUUUAUAGUGGGCAAGACAUGGAAGCUGCCAAAAUGUCCAUCAACAGGUGAAUGGAUGAAGCAGCCAUGGUGCAUAUACACAAGGGAAUACGGCGCAGCCACCCAGAGAAUGAAGUUUUACCAUUUGCGACAAUAUGGAUGGACCUGGACGGUAUUAUGCUCAGUGAAGUAAGUCAGACAGAGGAAGACAAAGACUGCAUGAUAUCACGAAUGUGUGGAACUAAAAAAUAAAAUGGAUCUAACAAAACCGAAACAGACUCACGGAUAUCGAGAACAAAACUAGUGGUUGCCAGUGGGGGAGGGCAAGAUUGGGGGGGAAAGAGGUACACAGUACUCUGUGUGGAAGGAGAAGCUGCAGGUGUGCUGAACAGCACAGGGAGUUCUAGUCGUUAUCUUUUAGUAGCUUUUAAUGGAACAUCAUCUGUAAAAAUACUAAGUCACUAGGCUGUGUACUGAAACUGAUAAUAUUGUAAAUGAGCUACACUUUAAUAAAAAGUACGGUGGUUGAGGAUGCGUCGCAUGUUAGCGUCAUACUGGAGGUUGGGCUCAAAAGUGAGCGAGACAGAAAUGGCCCUGGCCCUUGUGGUGAUUAACACACCAGGAGAGAAAAACAGACUUUUAAAAAAGGCGAAUAGGUUUUGAUGUCAUCGUCACUCCUCCAGCCCAAGAAAGAACAAGCACAUCGUCUUGUUACAUGGGCUUUGUUCGAGUACAGUGGCCUGUUGUAUGGGAGAGCUGUAUACCUCAGAAUUAAAACAUGUCUUGCAUAA